rnacentral:lncRNA from 1 species
GGCCACAACUAAUAUAAUUUCAUGGAGGGAAUAUUAUUUUACAACAAAUUAAUAAAGUAUUAAAUCGUUAAGACUCUUAAGCCUAAAUUAAGAAGUAUUUUCUCCUAGAAACAAAUGUACAUUACACAAACUUCUACACAGUGACAACAAACAAAUGGUAUUCAAGCACAAAAAGCAGAGAUUCUACGGGGAAAAGUAUGAAAUUUCAUAUGACCAGAAUUUUG